GCCAGGCGUGGUGGUGGACGCCUGUAAUCCCAGCUACUUGGGAGGCUGAGGCAGGAGAAUUGCUUGAACCCAGGAGAUGGAGGUUGCAGUGAGCCGACAUAGUGCCACUGCACUCUAGCCUCGGUGACAGAGUAAGAUUCUGUCUCAA
ensembl:misc_RNA Metazoa_SRP Metazoan signal recognition particle RNA